UAAACUAAAUUUUUUGUUUGAAUGUAACUCAAACUAAAUUUGUUUGUUAGGGUUUUCUUCUCAUUUACGCUUCGAUUUCCGAGAAACUUAACACCGCAACAAUGGCGGAUUCACCACCGGCGUCAAAACGCCGUCGUACUGACGAGCGAGAGUCGCAAAACGACGCCGUUAAAUCGUCGAAUCUCGAGGAAUUAUCGCCGCUGGUCGUCUUUGCUCACGGUGCUGGUGCUCCUUCCACUUCCGAUUGGAUGAUUAGAUGGAAGGAGAUGCUAGGAGAAGCUUUGCAUGCUGUUGAAGUAGUUACAUUUGACUAUCCCUAUUUGGCUGGUGGAAAGAAGAGAGCUCCUCCCAAGGCGGAAAAGUUAGUGGAAUUUCAUGCAGAUAUGGUCAAAAAGGCAGUUGCUGAAUACCCUGGUCACCCUCUAAUAUUGGCUGGAAAAUCAAUGGGAUCAAGAGUUAGCUGCAUGGUGGCAAGUCAAAAGGACAUCUCUGCUUCGGCAAUAGUUUGUUUGGGGUACCCGUUGAAGGGAAUGAAUGGAGCAAUACGGGAUGAGAUAUUGGUUCAGCUCGCAGUUCCUGUCAUGUUUGUGCAGGGUAGCAAAGAUGGUUUAUGCCCUCUGGAUAAGUUGAACGCUGUCCGUAAAAGCAUCAAGCCCAUUAAUGACUUGCACGUGAUUGAAGGCGGAGAUCACUCGUUCAAAAUUGGUAAGAAGCAUCUGCAGGCAACUGGGGUUACUCAAAAUGAUGCUGAGGAGUCUGCUGUCCAGUCUGUUGCUUCAUUUGUUGCCAAUAGCCUUUGUGAAUCAUAACAAUCUUCAGUUCUACUAGAAUUAGCAGUGAAAUGCUCUUUAGUGUGCUGACUGCAGUAGAGUGCCUUGGAUGAUAGAGAAGGAUGCGAGGCGAUGGGAUUGAGAAUCACAGAGUUACAGAUCUAUGCUUUUAGCAGCAUUACUUAACCUAUGGGUUAUGUUUUCACUUAAUAUGUGUAACAGCCGAUCUUUAGUGUACUACUUGAAACUCCAGCACUGAAGCUGCAACUGCAAGUAGUGGUGUGUUUGAGCCCAUGACAUGCAGUGGUGGCUGGUGCAGUUCAGCAAAUAUUCGCCCACUUGAUUUCUGAUGCAUCAGGUCCUUAAUUUUAUUGCAUUUGUUCCCUUUGACAAAGCCACAAAGGUAAUUAAGGCAUCAUAUUUCCCCAUGAGGAGGAUAAUAUAUACUAUAAUAAAAUUUGAGAUUCUUCACUAAAUGGUGCAACUUCUCAAAGUGGAAUAUAGCAUGCGUUUUUCUAAUACAAUUUGCAUACUCAAUAUCAGCAAUUGCAUAAAUUUUCAAUCUUCAUACAGCUCAGUAUCUGAUAUUCUUUUUCAAGAAGAAAUGACAUGCAUUUUUUUUGGGUAAAAUGUGAGAUUUUAUUACCAAAAACAAGCCAAAGCCACAAAAACAUAAUACAAACUAGUGAACUACCAGCUACUGUUGUACAAACCACUACAGAGCCAACAAUUAAAACAUCAAACUAAUUACUAUCAACAGCUAACUCAUGUAGCCAUCUCCUAUCCUCCCCUCCCCAUUCAUCAUUUAAUGUAGCUUUUGUUCUACAGCAAAUUUAAGCUUUUAUUUUCCUAAACACUUUCUCAGGCCUAGGAACAACAUCAUUCCAUAGCACAUUGUUUUUAGCCUUCAAGUCCCUAAUAUAUAUACACUAUGCACUUUGUCUUCGAUGCAACAGGAGGAGGUUUUGUUAUAACUACAAAAAAGCUUUGCAUAUUUGUGUAAUAUGCAUUAAGUAUUUAAGUGCUCGUAUAUGUUUUUGUGAAACAAAAAAUCUGUUGGUAAGUUAAGUCCUUGCAUAUGGUGAUUUUUAAAUUAUUUUAUCAAUUCAUAUAGGUAUUAUGAAUCAAAGUAAGUCACUGCAAUUACUAGAUACAUGUAAGGAUAGGAGUUAGUUCAAGUGGGUAGAGCGCUCCUCUUGGCCCCUGAGGUUAGGGGUUCAAUCCUUACCCCCAACAUUAUAUUAGGGUAUUUUCUUAGCAUGCUAUGCAUGCCUUACCAGCCAAUGUGUUGGUCUUUCCUACAGGCUAGUAGCCUGGUAAGGGUUAGUCCUUGGGCUGACUUAAUUUCCUAAUAAAAAAAUAAAUAAAAAAUUAUUAGAUACAUGUUUAACAUGUAGAGAUAUGUGGAGGUUUCUAACAUAACUAUGUAGUAUGUAAGUGCACUAUUGCAGUAGUUCAUAUUAUCUUGUAUUCUUGUGCGGCUGCUUAUGUGUCUUCAGAACCUUUUAAGCUCCUGAAAGCAAGCCCAAUUGUGUGUCUGUCAUCUGAUAGUACUCCCUCUGUUUCAAAAAUGUUGCUAUAUUUUGAUCGUUGGCACUAUUCACUUGGUAACUUUGACUGUCUUUUAGUUGAUAUACAUAAGAAAAAACAUAGUUAUGUUGGAUCUUAUUUGAUUUGUACCAAUUUGUAUUUUCCAAAUAUAGAAUUUUUAUAUUGUUUUCAUAUAUGUAACUCAAGAUAUUGGUGUUUGAAGUUACAUCUUGUAAACUGUGAAAAAACAAAUGUAGCAACAUUUUUGGGAUGAAAGGAGUAUAUGUAACGCGUUUAUAUUGUACAUCUUCUAGACAAAAGAACUCUGAUAAUGUAAUGUUUCUCCACCU